rnacentral:hammerhead_ribozyme from 1 species
AUCCAUCUGACGAGUCCCAAAUAGGAUGAAACACAUCAUGGAU